rnacentral:rRNA from 1 species
UACGUAGGGGGCUAGCGUUGUCCGGAAUCAUUGGGCGUAAAGAGCGUGUAGGCGGCCUGACAAGUCUGCUGUGAAAACUCGAGGCUCAACCUCGAGAUGUCGGCGGAAACUGUCUGGCUAGAGUCCGGAAGAGGAGAGUGGAAUUCCUGGUGUAGCGGUGAAAUGCGCAGAUAUCAGGAGGAACACCGGUGGCGAAGGCGGAUCUCUGGGCCAUUACUGACGCUGAGGAGCGAAAGCGUGGGGAGCGAACAGG